rnacentral:rRNA from 1 species
GAGGAAAGCGGGCGGCGGGCCUAAUACAUGCAAGUCGAGCGAACAGACGAGGAGCUUGCUCCUCUGACGUUAGCGGCGGACGGGUGAGUAACACGUGGAUAACCUACCUAUAAGACUGGGAUAACUUCGGGAAACCGGAGCUAAUACCGGAUAAUAUAUUGAACCGCAUGGUUCAAUAGUGAAAGACGGUUUUGCUGUCACUUAUAGAUGGAUCCGCGCCGCAUUAGCUAGUUGGUAAGGUAACGGCUUACCAAGGCGACGAUGCGUAGCCGACCUGAGAGGGUGAUCGGCCACACUGGAACUGAGACACGGUCCAGACUCCUACGGGAGGCAGCAGUAGGGAAUCUUCCGCAAUGGGCGAAAGCCUGACGGAGCAACGCCGCGUGAGUGAUGAAGGUCUUCGGAUCGUAAAACUCUGUUAUUAGGGAAGAACAAAUGUGUAAGUAACUAUGCACGUCUUGACGGUACCUAAUCAGAAAGCCACGGCUAACUACGUG